CCUCGUCUCCCAUGACGAGUACCCUAGGAGUCAUAGCGGGAAGGCAACGACCUGUUAUGUAGCACUCUGACAAUGAAUCCUGCAACCGAAAGGUUGGCACUGGAACCGCGAGGCAACGGUGCAUCUGGGAGCAUCGAUCCGGAUCGGGGC
rfam:Acidobacteria bacterium 13_2_20CM_56_17 13_2_20cm_scaffold_39375, whole genome shotgun sequence.